rnacentral:lncRNA from 1 species
UCAUAAUCUGUUCAACAUAUCAAUGAAGGUGUCUUCGUUGCAUGGAAUUGUGAGGCCGCCUUCUGGAUGACUAAACCCAAAUUCUUCCUCUGCUUGACUUAACAGGUCUUGGAAAGUAGGCUCGUUUAAGUAAGAGAUCGGAACUACAAAUCUUCUUCUUUGGUCCUCCCCGACAUAAACUGCCAUGCAUCCCUUCGGGACAUUUGUACUACGAUCAAGAUUUGUUGAGGAGAAUUGGCGGUUGAGAAUUUGCUUGAGACUAGUGAUACGAGGAACAUGAAUACCCAUGAUGCUAAAAUCAAAAAUUUGUAGUAUUCAGGAUAAACUCUGCUGAUAUUGAAAUACAAGGACUUGUGCAGAUGGAAGGCUUAGACACUUGAAUACAAUUGAUUAUGUGAUGAAUUUGGUUGAGUUUAUAAUAGCUAUUUUAUAGAGCACAUAGGAAGUAGUAUCGAACGAUUGAACAUUUGAUUGAGUGGCGCAGAUGAAUUAGGCAUUAGCACAUGCUAUUCUCUCUCAAUGGCCACAUAUGUUUAAGAUUUAUGGUAGGACUUAAAUGUCUGUUAAGAAACAUCAUGUCCUACUACUUUUGUUCUACAAAUCUGAACCUGAUAUCUUCUCAUCUAAAUAUGUGUUAUGUGAACGCCAUACAAAUAAUUUGGCUUGAAACUCUUGAGUUUUAGUUAGGUGCUCAUGUGAUAGUGUUUUCAUUCACCCAUCCUAGCUGUUAUUUUGUUGCAUUGAUGAAUCAUUUAGUAGAAAACAGUAGCUGCUGGGGCUUAAUCAAGCAGACUCCGUAGGGCUUGAUGUCUCGCAACACACAUAAAUCAAAUCUUCUUGGUCAUAUAUACUUGUAGCUAUUAGAACAGAAUAUCAUGUGCAAGUGUCUAUUGCUUCUUCGCCCCACGGAUAAUAUUUUGGAUAAAUUGUUUGAGAAGUUCUAUCAUCUAUGUUCUAUAUAUACAUAUAUUUAAGCAUUAGUAGAAUUCAUCACAAACUCAAUUGCUUCAAGCCUUAAACUUACAUUUCCUUGCGUUUCUGGUGUAUCGCCCAACUCUUCACUAAAAUAUCUAUAGCAGAAUGGGUAUUCGCGUGCCUCGCAUUGCUAAUCUCAAACAAAUCCUCAACCGGUCAUCUUUCCUGAUAAAUCCUGAUCUUACUUCAACGAUUCCAAAGGGGUGCUUGGCAGUUUAUAUUGGGGAGAGCCAAAGAAGCCGAUUUGUUGUUCCUGUUUCAUACCUGAAUGAGCCGGACUUUCAAGAAUUGUUAAGUCAAGCUGAGGAAGAAUUUGGAUUCAAUCAUCCGGAAGGAGGUCUUACAAUUCCAUGCUCAGUGGACACAUUCAAUGAAAUCACUUCGCGCCUGAACAGAUUAUAACGGAAACCAAUUCAUAUACAUGUAGAUAGUAUUCCGAUCUCAUUUGAUGAGCUUCUGAGUGUAAAUUGUAGAAUAGGAUUAGUUUAUAACUAUUAUGUAGGCAACGUCUAAUUUGAUCCCCCAUUUUUGUUGAUAUUUCUACCAUUUCUUAUAACAAGUUUACGUUGAGCAGUAAAAAAUUCCAAUUAUCAUACCUGAAUGAGGCUGCCUUCCAAGACUUGUCAAGUUAAGCCCAAGAAGAACAUGUGUUGAAUCAUUCAAAAGGUGCCUUCAUAAUUCUCGACACCUUCAUUAACCUCACUUUGAAAAAAAUUAAAUUGUUAAAUAGUAAAGCAUCUCCAAACAUGUAAACUUAAAUGUAUCUGGAGUCGUUAUUAUUAGACGUGUGGCUUUACAUAGUGGUUUUAUGUGUUUGUCAGCUCCGGAGCAUUAAGAACUCCCGCGAAAGAAAAAGGGAAAAUUAUCAAGUUGAUCACUCGUUUCAUUCAAAUAUAUCAAGUAGAUCAUUACUUUCUAGUUUGACUCAAGUUAAUCUAUUCUUUCUGUUAAUUUGUACAUGUCGUUAGGCUCAACUCUGCUUUUUAGUCAUUUAUAAUAUCAAAUGUUAAUAUUUAUGUUAAUUAUCGACCCGGAACAGCGUGAAAGUAAAUAGGAUAACCUCACAUGUAAAUGAACUUCAAAAAUUUAUAAGCUCUACUGGUUAGGUCAUGACAUAAAUUCUUGUGAUCUUCAUUUACAUGUCAGACUAUCCUAGUCACUUCCAUGCUGCACUCGAUAACUAACGAAAAUAUUAACAGUAAUUGUUGUAAUUGAUUGAAAAAGAGAUUAGAUUCAUACUGCUUGUACGGAAUAACAGAGUGAAUGGUUAACUUGAGUCAAACUGGAAAGUAAUGAUUUACUUGAUAUAUUUGGAUGAAACGAGUGACUAACUUGAUAUUUUUCCCAAAAGAAAAAUAUCAUCGGGGGUAUGAAACUGGCAAGGAGUAGAGAUCGACCGAACAAGAAAGAUUAAGCAAAAUAAAAAGAAAUUCUGACAAUACAUAGAGGGUUCAUUCGAUUUCUCUUUGAUUAUUUUUCAAGUUGAUCUACCAAACCUUCUUGUGAUCUAUGUUGAAUGGUUAAUUAUGUGAACAAGCAAUUGUUCAUAUUAUUAUUAUUAAUUAUCAAUGGAGCCACCCCCUUUUCUUUAGGAAUGUGACACUAUUUUUUAGAUCCUUUAAUUUGAUGAACAAAAACAUAACCAAACCUGAACAAAAUUACAUCAACUGUCCUUGCAAAAAAAGAAAUUUAAAGAAAGGAGAAACUUAUGGUAGAUAUUUAAACCUUCACAAUAAAGGGAAGAUGGACAACGAAAGAACUUUUAAAAAAUAUAUCCAGAAUCCAGGAAUAGGCUACUAGUAAAGGUUGGUCCUUGACCUUUCCCUAAUGACAAGGUCAGUGGUUCAUAUCCACACUCCACUUCGCUAUGAAGUUCCGUGUUAUAAGCAUGCAUGUUUUUAUUCCUUAGCAAUUCAUUUCUCAUACAAUGCUCAAGCAAGAAGUGAGUUUAAAGAAUAUGUCUACUCUACAUGGAAUAGUAAGACCACCUUCUACAUGAUCAACUAUGAAUUCUUUUUCGGCUUGAGUCAAUAAAUUUUGAUAGGGAGGUUCACUUAAAUAUGCUAUCGGGAUUGUAUAAGCUACUUCUCUGGCCUCCCCAACAUAAACUGCCAUAAGCCUUUUGGAAGAAGAAGCACUGUUGAACUAGCAAGAUAUCUCAACAAAACAGAGAAGACUGAUUGAUACUUUUCUUAACAUGAGAAAUAACAGUCAUACGGUUUUCAUGGUGUAAUGAAAAAAUUGACAGGAAUGAUUAUAUAAUGAAAGUAGAUGUGGAUGAAAAUUUUGAUGGUUCGGCUAAUUAGUUUAUGUUGACUUGUUUGCAGUUCCAUUUUUCUGCGAUUAGAUAUAAAAAGGAGAAAUGAAAUAUCAUCUAAAAUAUGAGAAAUUCACACGCCUUUCUCUUUGGCUCACCACAUAGAUUAACAACUCAGAGGCCAUAUCUAUUUCUGCUAGGAAACAUCUCAUGUUCCCAAUUGAUUGCUUAUGUGCACCACCUCAAAAAUCAACACUUCUGCAUCAGAUAAAGAUUUCAAGAGAGAGUAGCACAUGGGUCUGUAUUUAUGUUACCCUACUGCUUCUUGUACCACAAAGCCAAAUACAUGCUUCAGACAAGGAUUAGAAGGUUGAUUUUACGUUUGAUUAUGUUAAAAAUUCAAAUAAUUGGACUCCUAAAAAUUUAAGGCAGAGCUAUCAGACAACUAAGAUAUUUGAUUAUCCUUGGUAUGUGUAGGGCAAGUUGUGUCUUGGUAAGCAGAGACAUAUAUCCCAAACUUCUCCAACCUUGCUACACAUUCUGUAUUUGUAGGACAUCACCAUGUGCUAGUGACUUAUUAUUUCAUUUUCAGUGUUCAAGAAACCUUCUAUAUAAACAUAGCGAAUUUGACAUAAAUCAACACAAGGCUUACUAGCAAACCUUCAUUUCUUUCAUCAAGCAUCGUCCACGUAUAACAUAAAUCAAGUAUCUGUGAUCAGUUCCACGUUAUUCUGAAAUUUAUCGAAAUUGGCAUAUAAUAGUGGGUUAACAGAUAAAUUUCUUGAAAAUUGAUAUGGGAGAAAGCAGCCUCUUAUCUUAUAUUCCUAUAUUUCAGAAAGAUUUAGUCAGAACCUAUUACAGUUUCUCUGUGAUCAUAUUUACUAGACCGAAAUUGAUCAGGCAUCGACCUGCAGAAGAUACUUGGCAAGGUAUAACAAUAAUGCUUCAAGUUGCUUCAAGUUAAAUCUGCAGCACAUACAUUAUUUCAUUUAUUUUAUGUUAGAGAUUGAUCACCCCUAGACAAAAAAUGCGCUACAUUAUGUGUUCUACAAAUGUAUACCUGAUCAAGACUUGAUAUGAAAUUACAAAUUCAAAUUGGAACUUUAAGUUGAUAUUUUGACGAUAUGAUUUAUUUUUUCAGAUUUAUAGUUGAUUAUUAGUUUGAGUUUUAUGCAUAAUUGGUUUGGUUUUUGACUUAUUAUGAAUUGAUAAUGACAUAGCUGUAAUAAGAGUUGCAUGCUAGUAAUUUGGGUUGAGUUAUGUGUGAUUAUGUUUAUGUAUCACUGAGUUUGGUAUAUGAGGGCAGCCCUGUGAUUUUAUGUUCAUGGAAUGGUGAUAUCUUUAAAUUUAAUUAUGAAUUCUGUGAUUUUAUUGAGUUGAUUGCUUUUAGUUUCAUCUGCAUGCCCUGUCCUAUGCUAAAUCUGCAGCCUUGAGUUUAUAUGUGCUGUGUUCAAUUCGAAAAUUUGGGGAAAACAGGCCUAAUGACAUGAGACUUUGAUUAUCUAAUGACCUUGAUGUGGACCAAGAGAAUUUGGCUAAAUUUUAAAUCAAAUAACGAAUGUUAUGUGAGGAUUCAGUUCUGAUAUAAGUGUGUAGUGAUUAUUAAAAAACCAUAAAUCUUGUUAGCAUAUAAAUGGAUAAUAAGAGAAAUUUUAUGAAUUUCAUAAGUGCUUGAUGCUUCUGUUCUUGAAUCCAAUAAUGUAGAAUUUAUAAAAACAACUAAUUCAAGGUUUAAGAAAUUUAGACAGAUCGAGUGUUAAUUCCAGUCAUUAAGAAAGGCAUACUUGCUCUGAUACCACUGUUGAGCCAGCUAAGCAAGCCAGUUACGGACCAGUUACGGACCAAUUACGGUCCAACCUUGCUCUGAGCCAAGACUCCACAAUAGUACGAUAUUGUCCGCUUUGGUACGAUAUUGUCCGCUUUGGGCCUAGCCCGCAUGGCUUUGUUUUUGGGCACCUCUCAAAAGGCCUCGUUCUAUUGGAGUUGUUCUGGCUGCUUAUAUUCUAACUUUAUGCUCCUCCCACAACCGAUGUGGGAUUUGUUCUAACAGUAACUUUUGAGACAGAUUCUAUUUCUGGUGGUAAACAUCUCAUGGACCCAGUUGAAUGCUUAUACAUAGAAGAACAGAGAAGUAAUCAAUUAUUAAACAUCAAUCAAGAGAUUACAAUAGAAAGUAGCACAUCAGUUUGUACCUGCAUUACCUUACUACUUCCCGUACCACAAAAAUAUAAUAUAUGUGCUCAGACAAGGGUUAGAUGGUAUGAUUCCUGUGUGAUGGUGUUUAAAAUCUCAAAAAAUAGACAACCUAUAAAUUCAAGAUCAUCAUAUGUAAUACGGCAGGGUGUGUCUUGGUCAUACAGUCUUCCUAUUCAUUUGAUAUUUGUAGGACAAAACCAUGUGGAAGUGACUUAUUAUCACCAAUGUAUAUGCAUUAGUAGUCCUUAAUUUACUAUUCAAGAAUUGGUUCAUCUGCUAUAUAAGCACAUCAUUGGGAUUUUAACGGAAACCAUUUUAAGCUUAACACUAUUAACCUUCAUUUGUUCGUCUAGCCAUUGGUUAGUCAUCUACCUCAUUAACAUUCAUUCCAUGCACAUAAAGUCACUUACAAUCACGUCUAUUCACAUUCCUCGUAUUCCUCAUGUCAAGCAAAUUUGUGAAAAAAAAUCUGCAUAUACAGCAAAACAAUUAGCAGCGACGUCUAUGGAUAUAAAGAAGUUGCUGGAUAUCUCGUAGGUGGAAAAAACAUUGUCACAUGAAGACCUUAUUUGUGAACCCCGCCAUAAAACAAUUAAGUCUCUAGGAAAAUUGUAGGACAUCAAGUGUUAAUGUAUACCAUUUCAAUAUAAUGUCACUUUCUGUAAAUUUGUUGUGGAUGAUUUGAUAAGUAGGGGCAUGCUGUCUUGCAACAGACAGAGAAGUCAUUCUAUCUGUCAUAAAUAUAUGUAGCUAUUGAAAGAGAAAUUCAUGUGCUAGUGUCUAAUGCCUCUUCACCACUCAAGUUACAUUUUGAUGAACUGUUCAAUUUUCUAUAUAAAUACAUAACUGGGUAUUAAUAAAUUUCACCACAAAACUCAAUUGUCUAAAGUCUUCACUAUACAAGUCCUUUACUUUCUCCAUAUUCUCUAAUUGAUCUAAUAGUAUUAUGGGUAUUCGUUUGCCUCGUGUUACCAAUCUCAAGAAAAUCCUUAACCCGUCAUCUUUCUUGAUAAGUCCUGAUUAUACUUCAACAGUUCCAAAGGGUUGCUUGGCAGUAUAUAUUGGGGAGAAGCAAAGAAGAAGAUUUGUGGUUCCCAUUUCAUACCUGAAUGAUCCUGCCUUCCAAGACUUGUUAAAUCAAGCUGAGGAAGAAUUUGGGUUCAGCCAACCAGAAGGCGGCCUCACUAUUCCCUGCUCAGUGGACACAUUCAUUCACCUUGCUUCACACCUGGAUAGAUCAUAGAGAAAAACAUUUAUAUACUGGUAGAUAGUAUGGCAUUGAAAUGUAAAUAGUAGAAUAGAGAUUUUAAUCAGAUUUUUGUUGGCAACGGAUGAUUUGAAGCUCACCAUUUUGUUGAAUUUAACUUUACCAAAAUUUAUCCAUCAUAGUUUCUUCUUAAAAAUCUCUAUUCUACUAUUUAAUAUAAAGAACUAAAAAAUUUGAUUGCCAAAUUAGUAACUUUUUCUUGUAAUAUAUGCACUCGUAAAGCAAAUUAGGGAUUUUGAAAUCUCCUUAUGAUUUGCAUCCAAUGACAUUCGCAUAGAAAAGAAAAUGAUCUGAAGACUGCAGGCUCUUCCUUAGAUUUUAGGCAUCCAGGAGAUUUUCUGAUUACAAUGAGACAGCAAAUUUUCUUCUGUCUUGGCUACCUGCUGCAUGUAAUGACAUAUGAUUCGAACUGUGAAUGUCAAGUCUGGUCAGAGUUAGAAAGUUAAACUUAUCUACCCAGAACCAAUAAAUGAUGUUCUUGAUAAAAACAGCAAAUUUCAGAGGCAAUGAUUGUUGAAUGCAGACAGGUUUACAUAUUAUCCUUUAGGUGGUACUAACAUAAAAUGGAAUGAAACGACAAGCUUAUCAGUGGCUUCGUGGCUUACAUGAAGACUACAAAAAAACCUGCACAACUGAAAUUGUAAGGUUGAGUAUGUCAACUGCUAGAGUGAAUUUGAAUAAACAAGUUCUUCACAUCAAUCCAAAGAGAUCUCGGUAAUCCCAGGAGAGCAAUAUGUAUGAAUAAAUAGAUGCUAAUCAAUUAAGCAAAAUAAAUUCUUCACUGAUAUGUAAAAAUAAUAAUUCUGUGUAAUGAGAUGGUUACUCUAAUCUUCCCUAGGUUAUCAAAUGGAAGCGGAUUGAGUAGUAUACAGUACAAACCAGAACCUUACAAAAUUGUUAGUACCAGAUUAUAGCUACUUGUUUCUUAUAUCUGCGCAAGACUAAACUGAGGUUAACCAAUGUCUUCUCUACACGGAAAAGCCACUUCAAACAAUAAAGACAUAGAAAUUGCUCUUCUUUUGAACAAUUACAUUUGUGAUCGGACCAAUAAUGUAUAAAGCUGCUUAUCUAUAUUUCAAAUAAAAAUGACUACAUACUGAUUGCAGAGAUCAAAUCCAUGUAGAAAUUAAUGAAAUCAAAUUACAAAGUAUCAGCUAAUGUUCUACCUACAAGAUUUAUAUGAGAGCCAUAUAUAAAAUUUCUAGACUAGCUUACAAAAUUUGUACACUGUCUAACAACAUAUAUAUAAACUCUCAUAAUCUGUUCAAGAGAUCAAUGAAGGUGUCUUCUUUGCAUGGAAUUGUGAGGCCACCUUCUGGCUGACUAAACCCAAAUUCUUCCUCUGCUUGACUUAACAGUUCUUGGAACGUAGGCUCGUUUAAGUAAGAAAUCGGAACUACAAAUCUUCUUCUUUGGUUCUCCCCAACAUAAACUGCAAUGCAUCCCUUAGGGACAUUUGUACUACGAUCAAAAUUUUUUAAGGAAAAUUGUCUGUUGAGAAUUUGCUUGAGAUUAGUGAUAUGAGGCACACGAAUACCCAUGAUGCUCAAGAAAAAUUGAAACUUCAACGGAUAAUCUCUGGGGAUAUCGAAAAUACAAGAACUUCUGAAGAUGGAAGGCUUAGACCCUUAAUUACACUUGAUUUUGUGAUGAAAUUGGUUGAGGAUAUCACAGUUUUUAUAUAGAAAUGACAAGUAAUGAGUGGUUGAUUUAAAUGCAGAUUGAGUGGCACAGAUGCAUUAGGCAAUAGCACAUGCUAUUCUCUUUCAAAGGCCACACAUAUUUAAGAGUAAUGUCUGUUGAGAGACGUCAAUUCCUACUGCUUCUGUUCAACAAAUCUGGACCUGAUAUAUUCUCAUGUCCUACUGAUAGUGUAGAUAAGACAGAAUAUAACAUAAAAUAUACGGAUAUGAACAAGAUACAGAUAAUUUGGCUGGAAAGUCCUCACUUUGCCUGGAAACCAAGGUAGCAAAUUUUAUGUUGUUAGUUUUUGUGGUCAGUAGUUGUGGGUGGGACAGACAAGUUAGGUACUCAUGUGAUAGUGUUUUCAUUCACCUAGCCUAGCUGUUUAUUUUGUGUAGUAGGAAACACCUGAUACAAGUUGUUAUAUCCAUGAAAGAAAGGGCAAAUUUAUGUAAGAAAUAGAUGACUGUUAGGAUUUUGUGUGUUAGGAUUAUAAGUUUUUAUAUGUUUAUAUUCACAAAACAAAAAGUAAAUAAAAAUAGACGGGUGCUGGUCCCCAGCAUAUGGUUGCUGGGGAGGGUUUAAACAACAUACAGCUCCUGAACUGUUGGAUCAGAUGAGGGACGGCUGAGAUAAAAAAAAAAAUGUUCUCGUCCAGCGCUUAAAAACCGCUGAACGGUACACGUAGAAUUUUUUUAUUUUUUUUGUGUCCAGCGCCUAAGAAGCGCUGGAAGCACAGGCAAAUUUCAUGUGCGGCUCUGGAGCCUGUUAUCAAGUUCUCAAAAGGUUUAUUAGCCUUGUUCAUUGAAAAUAGCUCUCAUUCUUGUUAUCAUUUUUUCUAGAAGAUCUUGACAAGCCAAAUGAAUAUAUAUCUUCUGUCUGGGCCUUGGUGCCUCCGGUAACUCCCAAGCCAGGCCCCUGAUUCACCAGAAUUUUAUUAGGAGAUAAUUCCAAAGAUGUGAAGGGUUCUCGAUUUGCAAAAUUCAUAGCUGAAAGACAGAAAAUGCUAAAGAAGAUUUCUGACAGAUAAAUUAGAUAGCUCUUUUAUCAAAUUUCUUCCCAGCAAGUUGUGACAGUUGCCCAAUUCCAGUAUAAAUUAGGAAGAGAACUGCCACCAACUGGAAAUAUACUUUGAAGAUCCACUAGAAGCCAUGAAAAAAUAUAUCACCACAUCUGCUUCUGCUGCAGAAGAAUGAGAGCUAUUUUUAAGAUAAAUGAGGCUAUUAACCUUUUGAGAACUUGAUAAUAGGCUCCAGAGCUGCACAUGGAAUGCGGAAUUUCAGAUGUUGUAUAAGCAUCCCUCCAUCAUGCCUUGUAUUGCUGCAUCAACAUUAAUUUAUAUCUUCUCUGGUUGCCUGUGCUUCCAGUGCGUUUUAAGCGCCGGACACAAAAAAAUAUCCUCUCGUCCAGUGCUUAAAAACCGCUGGAUGUGUACCAUUCAGUGUACACAUCCAGCGGUUUUAAAACGCUAGACGAGAACAUUUUUUCUUCUGAUCUCAGCCGUCCCUCGCUAUAUCCAACGGUCCAGAAACCGUAUGUUGUUUAAACUCUCCCCAACAAUCAUAUACUGGGGACCAACACCCAAAACAGAUUGUUGAAAUAUAGCAUAAGGUCCAUUCUAGGCCUUCCUCUAACACUUUAAGGUUUCAGAUGGAUUGUUUUUCAACAUGGUAUCAGCCAUCAGGGCUCUGAUUUGGCGGAGGUCUCAAAUGUCCACGUAGGCAUUAAUUACCCCAAAGAUGGGCGCCCGUGAUUCCCUCUUUAACCCAAAAAUGGGACUCCAGACCGCGUCUUCACUAAUUCCUUGAGAGCCGUCAUUUUGGCUCACAACUUCACCACUUCUGAUGAAUGACCUUUACUUGAGCAAUCCUCCUUCAAUUCCUCAUGCUCCGACCAAUCAUCUGCAGAUGCUUUCUUCUUGCGUCGAAACGAGCUAUACGAGCCAACCGAAUCCUCCCUUCUAGAGCGUUCACUAUACGCUGAACCUCGAAAGGAGGAUUCGUAAUCCUCUGUUGGAUACUCGGAUGAAGCAACAUGCUCAUCCUUCUUUUUCGCAAAUUCCUCUUCCCAUUUCUCAGCCUCACGCCUCUGCUUCAUCUGAAACUCUAUCCGUCUCCGCUCGCGGUCAAGGGUGUCAAGUUCGCUCUUGAUCGCUUCACGGUUCAACUGCUCCUUAUCUUCAACAGCCAAUCUUUUGGCCUUAAGCUUCUCUAAAUGCAAUCUCGCAUCACCAGAAUGUGCCUUUUUACCUUGCGGCGUCACUGCCAGUGUGCGUGUACGGCGACGUCGCCUACUACCACCUCCGGUAGGAUCCGAAUAAGCCGGACCACCGCGAGAUUCACCUGCUCUAGUUUCGAACAGCUUUUUGUGUUUUAGUGUCUAUCUCCUUAGUUACUAUCACCUCUCGUGUUUCCAGAACUUGUAUCGUCUCCCUCGCUUCAUCUGCCAUGGUAGAUCUGCCCCCUCCUUCUAGCGCCAAAUGCUGAUCUGCCCUCUCCUUCUAGCGCCAAAUGCUGGAACAGUGUAUGUAUGUUUAUUACAGAGUGUAUGUAUCUAUUCUAUUCUCAGAUUCCAACCCUGUGUUAGCUGCUCUGUUUAUAUAGCACUCUGGCACGUGACUUCCUCAUGCUUGCUGUUUGGGCUUAUUCUUCUUUGGGCUGCCUCUCACUCUGGGCCAAGGCCCAACAACUUCAACAGUUCCAAAGGGUUACUUGGCAGUAUAUAUUGGGGAGAAGCAAAGAAAAAGAUUUGUGGUUUCCAUUUCAUACCUGAAUGAUCCUGCCUUCCAAGACUUGUUAAAUCAAGCUGAGGAAGAAUUCAUUCAUUCACCAUUCAUUCACUAUUCCCUGCUCAGUGGAAACAUUCAUUCACCUUACUUCACGCCUGGAUAGAUUAUAGUGAGAAAACAUUUAUGUACAGGUAGAUAGUACAACACUGAAAUGUAUAUAGUAGAAUAGGGAUUUUGAUCAGAUUUUUGUUGGCAACGGAUAAUUUGAUACUCACCAUUUUGUUGAAUUUAACAUCACCAGAAUUUAUCGAUCAUAGUUACUUCUUAUAAAUCUGGAUUAAUAUAAAGAAAAAAAAAACUUGAUUCCCAAAUUAGUAACUUUUUCAUGUAAUAUAUGCACUCCUAAAGCAAAUUCUACAUAGGAAGGGAUUUUGAAGUCUCCUUAUGAUUUGCAUAGAAGGGAAGUGGAUUUGGUGUAUGUUUGUACCCAGAUUUUACAGGCGUCAGGACACGACGUGAACUGCACUGACACGACGGGAAGUACUGGCGACAAGACAUGUAGUGGCAGAUGGAUAAGCAUGAAGACUGGGUCUUAACAAACCCACCUUUUUAGGGGGAGAAUUCAAAUGGAAGUUAGAGAGGUGCCAGGAAUAUAGGAGGAAGUUACAUGCACGUGGGAGUUAAGUGGAGAGAAAAUAGGAGUUGCAUAUGGGAUAGGACUCUUGGAAGACAAGUAUAUAUACGGAGGGCACAUUACACUACUUCUAGGUUAUCUCUACAUGCUGCAUAAUAGACUCUGAGUUAUCUUCUACUCAUUACAUUGUAGUGCAACUCUAAGAGAUUAUCAUCAAGAGACUUCUACACGCCUACAACUUCUUCUUCUACCUAAUACCAUUAUUUUUCUUACGCAUAAACCCCAAACCAAGCCCAAGAUAUACAAAUUGAUACACACACAUAUAUACAUAUAUUAACAUACAAGGAUUUCUCUUCUUCAACUUAUAUCAGCUGAGUUACACAUCUUCAUCUCCCUCAAAUCAUUCUGCCGACGGGUACAUAGAGGUGUCGACGGGUGCACACUGCUGUUGGACGGGUGCAUGCUGCUGUCGGACAUGAACUACUUCUGAAGCCGACGUCUGCGUAUUUUUGUACUUGUAUCUUGCUUUUAUCAUACUUGUAAGCUGAUGUUACAUCAUUAUAGUGGAUAUUUGGCUGGGACAUUCCCACCCGCGGUUUUUAACCUUUUACAAGGGGUUUUCCGCGUCACCAAAAUUGUUUGUGUUCUUGUCUUUUGCUCUCUAUUCGAUAUUCAUCUAUUUGAUCUACUAAACAUUCAUACAUUAAACACUUACUCCAUUGUUAUAGAAAUUAAAUAGGCUUGGCUUUUAACCCCGCAAAUUUUGGUAAAAACAGGUGUUUGACUGGUUGCUCGUUCUGGACUUGAUUCAUAUUGACAGCAGCAUAUCUAUGGGCUGAGAAUACACUGGUUCUAGUUGGUGACUUUAAAAUUCAGUAAUAUGAAAUAUAAUUUUCAUAUGGUGUUAGAAGUUGAGUUUUAGCAUACAUGUUUGAAAAGAGACCAUGCAACUAUUAAAUUGAUCGAGAGAAAUUAUUACACGCCACAAAGGUUUCCUUUAGGAAUCUUAAGUAUCCAAGACUGCAGGCUGUUCCUUCGAUUUUAGGCAUCUAGAAGAUUUUCUGAUUACAAUGAGACAGCAGAUUUUCUUGUGUCUUGGCUACCUGCUGCAUGUAAUUAUAUAUGAUUUAAACUGUGAUGUCAAGUCUGGUCAGAGUUGAAAAGUUAAACUUAUCUACCCAGAACAAUUAAAUGAUGUUCUUGAUAAAAACAGCAAAUUUCAGAUGCAAUGAUUGAGGAACGAAGACAGGUUUACAUAUUAUCUUGUAGGUACUAAAAUGAAAAAAAAGGGAAUGAAACGUCUGGCUUACAUGAAGACUACAAAAAAACCUGCACAACUGAAAUUGGAGGGUGAGUCUGUCAGCUAUUAGAGUGAAAUUGAAUAAACAUGUUAUUUGCAUCCAUCCAAAGAGUUCUCGGUAAUUCCAGGAUAGCAAUAUGUAUGAAUGAAUAGAUACUUAUUAACUAAGCAAAAGAAAUUCUUCACUGAUGAUUUCUAAAAAAACAUAUUUCUGUGUAAUGAGAUGGUUACUUUGAUCUUCCCUAGGUUACCAGAUGGAAGUGGAUUGACUAGUAUACAUUACAAACUGGAACCUUGCAAAAUUGUUAGUACCAGAUAAUAGCUAUUUCAAAUAAAAAAGUACUUACAAAGAUAUAUAAUACCUAAAAGAUUAAAGAUUGCAGAGAUCAAAUCCAUGUAGAAAUUAAUGUGAUCAAAUUACAAUUAAAGUAUCAGCUAUUGCUCUACCUAAAAGAUUUAUAUGGGAGUCAUAUAUAAAAUUUCUGGACUAGUUUACAAAAUUUGUACACUAUCUAACAACAUAUAUAUAAACUCUCAUAAUCUGUUCAACAGAUCAAUGAAGGUGUCUUCUUUGCAUGGAAUUGUCAGGCCUCCUUCAGGAUGACUAAACCCAAAUUCUUCCUCAGCUUGACUUAACAGGUCUUGGAAUGUGGGCUCGUUUAAGUAAGAGAUCGGAACUACAAAUCUUCUUCUUUUGUUCUCCCCAACAUAAACUGCAAUACAUCCUUUAGGGACAUUUGUACUACGAUCAAGAUUCUUUAAGGAAAAUUGUCUGUUGAGAAUUUGCUUGAGAUUAGUGAUAUGAGGCACACGAACACCCAUGAUGCUCAAGAAAAAUUGAAACUUCAAAGGAUAAUCUUCGGGGAUUAUGGAGAAUACAAGAACUUCUGCAGAUGGUAGGCUUAGACCCUCAAUUAGACUUGAUUUUGUGAUGAAUUUGGUUGAGGAUAUCACAGUUUUUAUAUGGAAAUAGCAAGUAAUGAGCGGUUGAUCAAAAUGCAGAUUGAGUGGAACAGAUGCAUUAGGCAAUAGCACAUGCUAUUCUCUUUCAAAGGCCACACAUAUUUAAGAGUAAUGCUAGGACUUGAAUGUCUGUUGAGAGACAUCAUGUCCUACAAAUCUGGACCUUAUAUUUUGUCAUUUAAAUUUAGGUUUUAUGCGUAUAGUGGAGUUAAGACAGAAUAUAACACAAUAUAUACGGAUAUGAACAAGGUACAAAAAAUUUGGGUGGAAAGUCCUCACUUUGCCUGGCAAGCAAGGUAGCAAAUUUUAAGUUCUUAGUUUUUGUGGUCAGUAUUUCUGGGUGGGACAGACAAGUUAGGUACUCAUGUGAUAGUGUUUUCAUUCACCUAUCCUAGCUGUUUAUUUUGUGUAGUAGGAAACACCUGAUACAAGUUGUUAUAUCCAUGAAAGAAAGGGCAGAUUUAUGUAAGAAACAGAUUAUCAGACUUACUACACAACUUUCUGAUUGUUCUAUAUAAACACAUAAUUAAGCUCACUGGUCUAAAGUCUUUUCCAUAAAACUAUACAAGUCCUAGUGUUUAUCCAGUUUCCUGAACUCUUCUCUGAAAGAUCUUUGGUGUCAUGGGUAUCCGUAUGCCUCCUAUUACCAAUCUCAAACAAAUCCUUAUCCGCUCAUCUUACUCUUUAAAUCUCUGGGGAUAUGGAAACUUCUGCAGGUGGAAGGCUUAGACCCUUAAUUACACUUGAUUUUGUGAUGAAUUUGGCAGAGGAUAUCACAGUUUUUAUAUAUUCAUUUAAAGAGAUAUAUUCAUACAUUCACCUGAAUUAAGCUAAAAUUUUGUAAUUUCCCUGAAAAGCCUUCCAAUCUAAUAAAAAUUAAAAUAGAUACCUUAUAUACAAAUUUUAUAANCACCCAUGAUGCUCAAGAAAAAUUGAAACUUCAAAGGAUAAUCUUCGGGGAUUAUGGAGAAUACAAGAACUUCUGCAGAUGGUAGGCUUAGACCCUCAAUUAGACUUGAUUUUGUGAUGAAUUUGGUUGAGGAUAUCACAGUUUUUAUAUGGAAAUAGCAAGUAAUGAGCGGUUGAUCAAAAUGCAGAUUGAGUGGAACAGAUGCAUUAGGCAAUAGCACAUGCUAUUCUCUUUCAAAGGCCACACAUAUUUAAGAGUAAUGCUAGGACUUGAAUGUCUGUUGAGAGACAUCAUGUCCUACAAAUCUGGACCUUAUAUUUUGUCAUUUAAAUUUAGGUUUUAUGCGUAUAGUGGAGUUAAGACAGAAUAUAACACAAUAUAUACGGAUAUGAACAAGGUACAAAAAAUUUGGGUGGAAAGUCCUCACUUUGCCUGGCAAGCAAGGUAGCAAAUUUUAAGUUCUUAGUUUUUGUGGUCAGUAUUUCUGGGUGGGACAGACAAGUUAGGUACUCAUGUGAUAGUGUUUUCAUUCACCUAUCCUAGCUGUUUAUUUUGUGUAGUAGGAAACACCUGAUACAAGUUGUUAUAUCCAUGAAAGAAAGGGCAGAUUUAUGUAAGAAACAGAUUAUCAGACUUACUACACAACUUUCUGAUUGUUCUAUAUAAACACAUAAUUAAGCUCACUGGUCUAAAGUCUUUUCCAUAAAACUAUACAAGUCCUAGUGUUUAUCCAGUUUCCUGAACUCUUCUCUGAAAGAUCUUUGGUGUCAUGGGUAUCCGUAUGCCUCCUAUUACCAAUCUCAAACAAAUCCUUAUCCGCUCAUCUUACUCUUUAAAUCUCUGGGGAUAUGGAAACUUCUGCAGGUGGAAGGCUUAGACCCUUAAUUACACUUGAUUUUGUGAUGAAUUUGGCAGAGGAUAUCACAGUUUUUAUAUAUUCAUUUAAAGAGAUAUAUUCAUACAUUCACCUGAAUUAAGCUAAAAUUUUGUAAUUUCCCUGAAAAGCCUUCCAAUCUAAUAAAAAUUAAAAUAGAUACCUUAUAUACAAAUUUUAUAAGAAGUUAACAGAAACUACCCUAAAAAUUUCACAUUCUACCUCAGAGAUCAGGGAAGUCAAGUUUUAAGGUGUUUUUCGUUAACAGACUGAGACUGGUAUUUUUACGGACAAAUAGAAUUUGCUAACUAAACGUAUUUGAGAUAAGAACCGAUUACAAAAAAUCUACAAGAACGAAUAAUUUCAUGUAUUCUUGAUGCCUAAAAGAUUUUCAUGGAAAGUCUCAGUCAAAUAUAAAAUGUCUGGACUAGUUCACAAAAUUUGUAAACUAUCUAACAACAUUUCAGUAAGUAUGUAUCUGUACAGAUAUAUAUAAGCUCUCAUAAUAUGUUCAAGAGAUCAAUGAAGGUGUCUUCCUUGAAUGGAAUUGUGAGGCCACCUUCUGGAUGACUAAACCCAAAUUCUUCCUCUGCUUGACUUAAAAGGUCUUGAAAUGAAGGCUCAUUUAAGUAAGAGAUCGGAACUACAAAUCUUCUUCUUUGGUUCUCCCCAACAUAAACUGCCAUGCAUCCCUUAGGGACAUUUGUACUACGAUCAAGAUUUGUUGAGGUGAAUUGGCGGUUGAGAAUUUGCUUAAGACUAGUGAUACGAGGAACAUGAAUACCCAUGAUGCUAAAAUCAAAAAUUUGUAGUAUUCAGGAUAAACUCUGCUGAUAUUAAAAUACAAGGACUUUUGCAGAUGGAAGGCUUAGAACUUGAAUACAAUGGAUUAUGUGAUAAAUUUGGUUGAGUUUAUAAUAGCUAUUUUAUAGAGCACAUAGGAAGUAGUAUUGAACAUUUGAUUGAGUGGCACAGAUGAAUUAGGCAUUAGCACAUGCUAUUCUCUCUCAAUGGCCACAUAUGUUUAAGACUAAUGGUAGGACUUAAAUGUUUGAGUCUUGUAGUGUGGAUAAGAGAGUAUACAAAAAUGUUUGAGUCUUGUAGUGUGGAUAAGAGAGUAUACAAAUAAUUUGGCUGGAAACUCUUGAGUUUUAGUUGUGACAGACAAGUUAGGUGCUCAUGUGAUUGUGUUUUCAUUUACCCAUCCUAGCUGUUUAUUUUGUUGAAUUGAUGAAUCAUUUAGUAGAAAACAGUAGCUGCUGGGGAUUAAUCAAGCAGACGUAGUAGGGCUUGAUGUCUCGCAACACACAUAAAUCUAAUCUUCUUGGUCAUAUAUACUUGUAGCUAUCAGAACAUAAUAUCAUGUGCUAGUGUCUACUGCUUCUUCACCACUCGGAUAAUAUUUCUAAUAAAUUCUUUGAGUAGUUCUAUGUUCUAUAUAUACAUAUAUUUAAGCAUUCGUAGAAUUCAUCACAAACUCAAUUGCUUCAAGCUUUAAACUUACAUUUCCUUGUGUUUCUGUUGUUUCCCCCCAACUUUUCACUAAAAGAUCUGUUGCAUCAUGGGUAUUCGUGUGCCUCGCAUUGCUAAUCUCAAAAAAAUCCUCAACCGGUCAUCUUUCCUGAUAAAUCCUGAUCUUACUUCAACAAUUCCAAAGGGGUGCUUGGCAGUUUAUAUUGGGGAGAGGCAAAGAAGCAGAUUUGUGGUUGCGGUUUCAUACCUGAAUUUUCCUGCCUUCCAAGAAUUGUUAAGUCAAGCCGAGGAAGAAUUUGGAUUCAAUCAUCCGGAAGGAGGUCUUACGAUUCCUUGCUUAGUGGACACAUUCAAUGAAAUUGUAGAAUCGGAUUAUUUUAUACAUAUACAUCUAGAGAGCAUAGCACCUUCGAUCUCAUUUGAUGAGCUUCAGAUUGUAAAUUGUAGAAUCGGAUUAUUUUAUAAAUGCUUAUUACAUAUUUACGUAGAGCAAUAAAAAACUCUGUUUUUAAAACAUCCUUUGACAGAUUGAUUAAUAUAGAGCAUCACGGUUAUUUGUAUGUCUGUAUUGCUAAUCUUGAACAAAUCUUGACCAGUAAUUUUGUUGAUAUAUCUGACAUGUAAAUGAAUUUUAAAUAUUUAUAUGCUCCCCUAGUCAGGUUAUGACAUAAACUCUUAUAGUCUUCGACUCUUCGUUUACAUGUUAAGCUAUUCUAGUCACUUCCACGCUGCACCAUGUUGAUAACUGACGAAAAUGUUAACAUUUAAUUUUGUAAUUGACCUAAAAAGAGAUCAGAUUCAUACUGCUUGUACAAAAUAACAAAAUGAAUGAUUAAUUUGAGUCAAACUGGAAAGGAAUGAUCAAUUUGAGUCAAACUGGAAAGGAAUGAUCUACUUGAUAUAUUUGGAUGAAACGAGUGACCAACUUGAUAUUUUUCCUAAAAAAAUAUCAUAGAAAUAUGGAGUAUGAAACUAGCAAGGAAUGGAAGUCGACACAGGAAGAAAGAUUGAGCAAAAUACAAAGAAAUGUUGAGAAUACAUAGUGGUUUGAUUUGAUUUCUCUUUGAUUCUUUUUCGAGUUGAUCUACACCAAACCUUCUUGUGAUCUAUGUUGUUUGGUUAAUUAUCUGUACAGACAAUUGUUCAUAUUAUAUUAUUAAUUAUCAAUGCAGCCACCCCCUAUUCUUUGGAAUUUGAGGGUACUUUAGAUCCUUUAAUUUGAUGAACAAUAACACAAGCAAACCUGAACAGAACUGCUGAAAAAAGUUCUCCAGUAAAUCUCCAAAUUCUGCAGCAGCAUAAAUUUAAUCAUAAGAAUUUGCUUAAAAUUUACCAAAUUAUACACAAAAUUAGGCAAAUGUAUGCAUAAAAUAAGAAGUCAGCAGAAUCACAAACUAAAUUCCGUAGAUUAUAAGAGCAUCGGAGUCCAUAAUACAGAUUGCCUACUAAACUUUGCCGCAGAAAUUUUAUAAAUCAAUAAGUGUUCUAUGAAGACUUACACAACUAAUUUGCUGUAGAAUAGACAAAAUGUUCCUCAAACAAAAAAUUAAAAAUAACCCUAAUAUCAGAAUAUCAUUCAACUGCCUUCAUAGACAUUGAUACAUCCUUAAUCCUUUGAUGUGAGAUUGCUAGUUAAAACAAAAGUUAGUAUUUGGCGGGCUAGAUUGUGGAUAAUACAUGACAUGUCCUUGUAAAAAAAGAAAUUUAAAGAAAGGACAAACUUAUAGGAGAUAUUAAAACCUUCACAAUAAACGGAAGAUGGACAACAAAAGAACUUUUAAGAAAAUAUUCAGAAUCCAGGAAUAGGCUACUAGUAAAGUUGAUCCCCGACCUUUCCUAAUGACAAGGUCUGUGGUUCAUAUCCACACUCCACUUCGCUUUGAAGUCCCGCGUUAUAAGCAUGCAUGUUUUUAUUCCUUUGCCUCAACCUUAAGGUUUAUGUGAUGGAACCUUGCAAGACUAUUUCAACUGUUGAUGAUUAGCAACUUAAGAAGCAGAAUCAUAUCGUUCCGCCAUAAAGUUGAAUGGCAAUAAAAUAAUGAUAAUUAGUCUGCAAGUUCAAAUUACAAAAGUUAGUCUGUAAUCAGAACCUAAAACAGCCUAAAAUAAUAUAGAAAAAAAAGGGUGCCUAAAUUUAACUGAACUGCUUUCUUAAAAAUGGCAGUACAUCUCCUUUAGUCUCAGAUUUUUACAGCUUGUGCAAUCACAUAUGCACAUAUCUAAAAUUUUAUGAGGCUCGUGGUUCGUGAUGUUAAAUGAGACCUUGGUUGUCAGAACUGUGCUGCUGCUACUGGACAUAAAAGAGAACUGUAUUAUUGUUUGCUGCUAUAUUUAUCGGAAUGUUUAACAUAGCAUACUUCAUUCAGAGAAUAUAGAAUAUGAGAUUGACUCCUAAAAUUGACAAAAUCUUGACAGCAGAUGCAAUACAAAUCUGGAAAAAAAGCGCAUAAAAAAAAGUUGCGGACUAAUGGGAAAAACUUUAGCAUUCAGAAUAUUAUGUAGACAUAUCACAAAACAGAAAAUCCUCAUAUUCUGCAAACUAUGCUAAAAUCUGCAGUAAAUCUCUGAAUUAUGCAGAAACCCAGACUCUAUUUCUCUUAAGUUCUUUUGGAUUAUAUCGAGAAACUAAGUUGAUCGAAAAACCUUUAUCUCGCACAUCUACUUUCUGUAAUUCGACUUUAAAAACAAACUAAAAAUUGCACAUUUUUCUCCUUUUUACCCUUAACAAAAACAUUUCAUGAAUAUCCAUCAAGUCUAUAAUAAUUAAAAUUUCAAUAGUAGAAAUUAACUUAUAUACUUGCUUAUGCGGAGAACGGAUUAUAGGUUAGUUUCUAACUAAUUAAUCAAUAUAUUUCCUUGUAUAAUUUAAUUUAUAGGUCAUUUAUUUUCAUGAAUAUUCUUCAAAAGGCUAGGAACCUGCCCACUGGCUCCAUAGCCAACACAGGUAGGUAAUUCGGAGUCUCGGACUAACCGAGCGAUAAGACCCGGUGGGUGGGAACUUCCUUGCGAUACGCACGGAUAGGAACCCGAUCCCCUUUCUUCUGUCUCUUCAACUCGGGUGAACGUCAGGGAGCUGGUGAGGUUCGAACCCAUGACCCUUUGGAUCAAAGCAAGGCCCCGUUUCCACUGGGACAGCUCUCACACUUAUUUUCAAGAAUAUUGCUUUACAUCAAAUCAAGUUAAAAUUUUAUAAUUUCGAUAAAAACCCUUGAAUUGGAAAUAAUUAAAAGAAAAAUAACUUACAUAAAAAUUUAAGAUAAUUAUGCAAAAAAAUACCCCAACAAUUUGAUAUUCUACGUCGAGGAUAAUUUAAGUUUCAAAGCAAAUAAAUAUUUAUGUUUUUAUCAUAUUCACAGAUGGACUUUGCUGUUUAAUUGAGUAUAUACAUAUAGUAUGUAUGAGUUUAUAACCAGUGAUACAGAACACCUUCAAGAAAGAAUAAUUUCAAGAAUUAACACUCAAAUUUUUUUUAGUACUGCAAUUCAUUUCUCAUACAAUGCUCAAGCAAGAAGUGAGUUAAAGGAACAUGUCUACUCUACAUGGAAUAGUAAGACCACCUUCUACAUGAUCAGAUAAAGAUUUCAAGAGAGACUAGCACAUGGGUCUGUAUUUAUGUUACCCUACUGCUUCUUGUACCACUAAAUACAUGCUUCAGACAAGGAUUAGAAUGUUGAUUUUAUGUUUGAUUAUGUUAAAAAUUCAAAUAACUGGACACCUAACUAUUAAAGGCAGAGCUAUCAGACAACUAAGAAAUUUGAUUAUCCUUGGUAUUUGUAGGGCAAGUUGUGUCUUGGUAAGCAGAGAAUAUAUCCCAAACUCCUCCAACCUUGCUAUACAUUCUCUAUUUGUAGGACAUCACCAUGUGCUACUGACUUAUUAUUUCGUUUUCAUUGUUCAAGAAACCUUCUAUAUAAACAUAGGGACUUUGACAUAAAUCAACACAAGCAUACAAGCAAACCUUCAUUUCUUUUAUCAAGCAUCGUCUCAUCCUUUCCUUCUCGACAUCCACUUUAAAAAUACCAACUUAGAAACAUGGGUAUCCGCAUGCCUCGUAUUCCUCAUGUCAAGAAAAUCUUUCAGGGGUCUUCUUUGGCAACUACAGCAGUUUCAGACAUCCCAAAGGGCUGCUUGGCAGUUUAUGUUGGGGAGAGCCAAAGAAAAAGAUUUGUUGUUCCAAUUUCAUACUUGGCUGAGCCUGCCUUCCAGGACUUGCUAUGUCAAGCUGAGGAAGAAUUCGGUUUUGAUCAUCCAGAGGGGGGUCUUACAAUUCCCUGCAGAGAAGAUGUAUUUACAGAUCUCGCCUCAAGCUUGAGAAGAAAAUCAUAGAGAAGAACAUAAUCAAAAAAGUAGUUUAGAAAUUUUUUGUAAGCUAGUAGGAGAUAAGUUAGAAUAGGUUGGACCAAAGGCAUAAUUAUGCAAAUACUUUCUUCUGGUAUCUCAUGGAAUCAUUUUCAAUGAGGAAGAUCAUUACUUAAAAUUUUGUAAAAUAUUAAACUAUAUACUUCCCAUUAUAAUUUUAUGAUCUAACUAUGUUGUUUGCAAAUAACUUCCUAUCUGUAAUCAGUUCCACGUUAUUCUCAAAUUGAUCGAAAUUGGCAUAUAAGAUUGUGUUAACAGAUAAAUUUAUUGAAAAUCGAUAUGGGAGAAAGAAGCCUCUUAUCUUAUAUUCCUAUAUUUCAGAAAGAAUUAGUCAGAACCUAUCUACAGUUGCUCUGUGAUCAUAUUUACUGUGAAUACUAAAUUGAUCAAGCAUCGACCUGCAUAAACAUACAAUUCUCCUGUAUUUCCAUCGCGAAGAUCAUUGCAUAAAAAGCGGUCAAUUUAUAAACAAUCUAUAUCUCCUAUUAUAUCCUUUGACCGGAUUAUUUAGCUUGAUUGCCUUCCUCAUUUACAUCAUUUCCACAUAAUUCAGCAAUUAAAUCAACAGUUGCAUCUAAUUGUGUGUAAGAAGUAUGGUUUCAUGAAGAACUUGAAUGUCUUUUCCCUAUAUAUGGUUUCUCUCUGACAUUUGUUUCUUUAGAGGGAAUUGAUCUUUUCCCUAUAUAUGGUUUCAUGAAGUACUUGAAUGACUAUCUCUAUAUAUUUGUUUCUUUAGAGGGCAUGCCGAAAACACUUUAAAAAGGUAAAAACAAUAUACUAAUUUUCUUUUGGACUGUUCUGUAGAAGGAUAUGUUCAUUAAACCUUUUCUGACAGUCAAUUUAUUUCUGGUGGUUUCUAUUUCUUCAUGUUUUAUCUCUUAGGUAGAAAAAACAUUGUCACAUGAAGACCUAAUAUGUGAAACCCGCCAUAAAAUUAUUGAUGACAUAAUAUGCAAAUUGUAGGACAUCACGUGUUUAUGUAUACCAUUUCAAGAUAAUGUCACUUUCUGUAAUCUAUUGUGGAUGAUUUGGGUAGAGAUUUGAUAAGUAGGGGCAUGCUGUCUUGCAACAGACAGAGAAGUCAUUCUAUCACUCAUAAAUACAUGUAGCUAUUGAAAGAGAAAAUCAUGUGCUAUUGUCUAAUGCCUCUUCACCACUUGAAGUACAAAUUGAUGAACUGUUCAAUAUUUUCUAUUUUUGUAUAUAAAUACAUAACAGGGCAUUAAUAAAUUCAUCACAAACUCAAUCAUCUAAAGUCUUCACCAUACAAGUUCUUUUCUUUCUCCAUAUUCUCUAAACAAUCUAGGAGUAUUAUGGGUAUUCAUAUGCCUCGUGUUACUAAUCUCAAGAAAAUCUUUAACCCGUCUUCUUUCUUGAUAAGUCCUGAUUAUACCUUAACAGUUCCAAAGGGGUGCUUGGCAGUAUAUAUCUUGGAGAAGCAAAGAAGAAGAAGACUUAUCAAGAAAGAAGACGGGUUAAAGAAGAAGGGGGAUUGUCUAUUACAUUACAAACUAGAACCUUCCAAAAUUGUUAGUACCAGAUAAUCUGAAGUGAGGUUAAUGAAUGUUUUCUCUACAUGGAAAAGCCACUUCAGACUAUAAAGACAUGGAAUGUAUAAAGCUACUUAUAUAUAUUUCAAAUAAUAAGUACUUAUAAAGACAUAUAAUGACUACAUACUGAUUGCAGAGAUCAAAUCCAUGUAGAAAUUAAUGUCUCAAAUAUAAAAUUUCUACCUACAAGAUUUAUAUGAGAGUCAUAUAUAAAAUUUCUGGACUAGUUUACAAAAUUUGUACACUAUCUAACAACAUAUAUAUAAACUCUCAUAAUCUGUUCAAAAGAUUAAUGAAGGUGUCUUCUUUGCAUGGUAUUGUGAGGCCACCUUCUGGAUGACUAAACCCAAAUUCUUCCUCAGCUUGACUUAACAGGUCUUGGAAUGUAGGCUCGUUUAAGUAAGAUAUCGGAACUACAAAUCUUCUUCUUUGGUUCUCCCCAACAUACACUGCAACGCAUCCCUUAGGGACAUUUGUACUACGAUCAAGAUUUUUUAAGGAAAAUUGCCUGUUGAGAAUU